AUUGAACGCUGGCGGCGUGCCUAACACAUGCAAGUCGAGCGGUAACAGGUGUAGCAAUACAUGCUGACGAGCGGCGGACGGGUGAGUAACGCUUGGGAAUCUGCCUGUUAGUGGGGGACAACCCGGGGAAACUCGGGCUAAUACCGCAUACGCACUACGGUGGAAAGCCGGGGACCGCAAGGCCUGGCGCUAACAGAUGAGCCCAAGUCGGAUUAGCUAGUUGGUAGGGAACGGCCUACCAAGGCGACGAUCCGUAACUGGUCU
rnacentral:rRNA from 1 species